ACCUGGGGAAGGAACCACCUGGAGACUCAUCACAGAGACCAAGACACCAAGACCCCGAGAGACCAAGAGACAAAAAGAUGGCGGAACUGUUCAAAAAAGGAUUGAAGGGCGUGCUUCAUUUAGGAGAAGAGAUAGUGAAGGAGGUCAUUGAGCAUGAAGUGGAGCAUAAAUUGGAGGAGGCCAGACACCACCACCAUGAGAAGAAAGAGGAACACGCACCCAAUGACUCAGAAGAUUAUAGCAAUCCUUCAAAUGACUAUUACGGGCCUGAGGAUGAUUCCUCUGAAGAGAACUAAAACCUGCAGACCACGUCCUCCUAAAGACCCAUUUACUGCUCCUUGUUCCUCUAAAGAUGAACUUUAACUGUUUUUAGGAGACGUAAUCUGAGGAGACCACCUGGAGGUUAGGGGGGUAAAUCCUGUGUUUUUAAUUAGGACAACAGGUGUUUUAGGAUGGAUGUUUUAACUGGGGUGAUAUAUAUUCAUAUACGUAUUUAAGAGUUCAUGCUCAAAUGCUUUUAAAGCUGCGUGAGAUAAUAAUAAAGUGAAAAAGACAUGACAACCUCUUUCCAGAAGAGACAGUUAAUGUUUGUUACUCCUCCUGAAGAUGAGCUUCACGUUUGACUUCAACACGCCAGCGUCACAUGGUCACAGUGUCAUUAAAGCACAAAUGGGACGUUUCAUAAUCUGGAGGCAAAAACGUGUUUUUAAGAACUAAAACCAAUCAAAUCAAGUGUUUUAAUUAGGUCACCCAGUGUUUUGGGAUGCAUGUUGUAAAUGUGGUGAUGAGUAAUAAUAUAUAAUAAAGAUGUUAAGCCCAAAUGCAUUUGAAGCUGGGUG